AGGCCCGUAGUGAAACGGCAUCACAACUCUCUCCAAAAGAGUUAUUCCAGGUUCGAAUCCUGGCGGGCCUGCCC
rnacentral:tRNA from 1 species